CCUACGGGGGGCUGCAGUGGGGAAUAUUGGACAAUGGGGGGAACCCUGAUCCAGCCAUGCCGCGUGUGUGAAGAAGGCCCUCGGGUUGUAAAGCACUUUCAGUGAGGAAGAACGCCUGGUGGUUAAUACCCAUCAGGAAAGACAUCACUCACAGAAGAAGCACCGGCUAACUCCGUGCCAGCAGCCGCGGUAAUACGGAGGGUGCGAGCGUUAAUCGGAAUUACUGGGCGUAAAGCGCGCGUAGGUGGCUUGAUAAGCCGGUUGUGAAAGCCCCGGGCUCAACCUGGGAACGGCAUCCGGAACUGUCAAGCUAGAGUGCAGGAGAGGAAGGUAGAAUUCCCGGUGUAGCGGUGAAAUGCGUAGAGAUCGGGAGGAAUACCAGUGGCGAAGGCGGCCUUCUGGACUGAAACUGACACUGAGGUGCGAAAGCGUGGGUAGCAAACAGGAUUAGAUACCCGUGUAGUC
rnacentral:rRNA from 1 species